AUGACCUUACUUGAACAAGAUCUGUUCUAUAGGAUCGUACCUCAUUAUCCUUGAUUUCUAAGGGGACCGGAACUUAAGUCUGGAUGAUGAGCCAUGACAGUACGAUCAGAGCGUGAUUAAUGGCUGGUGAUCCUAUUGUUGAUGUAGAUCAUCUAGCUUUAGAGGACCGUUCUGUUCGUCAUCUGAUGGUUGAGAUGGUCACGCGGUUGUCUGACAGACU
rnacentral:snoRNA from 1 species